GACGAACGCUGGCGGCGUGCUUAACACAUGCAAGUCGAACGAGACGAUUGAAAGCUUGCUUUCGAAAGUCGAGUGGCAAACGGGUGAGUAACGCGUAGACAACCUGCCUUUGAGAUGGGGACAACAGUUCGAAAGGACUGCAAAUACCGAAUGUUGUAUAUUUUCCACAUGGAAGAUAUAUUAAAGAUGGCCUCUAUUUAUAAGCUAUCGCUCAAAGAUGGGUCUGCGUCUGAUUAGCUGGUUGGUGGGGUAACGGCCUACCAAGGCGACGAUCAGUAGCCGGUCUGAGAGGGUGAACGGCCACAUUGGGACUGAGACACGGCCCAGACUCCUACGGGAGGCAGCAGUGGGGAAUCUUCCACAAUGGACGAAAGUCUGAUGGAGCAACGCCGCGUGAGUGAAGAAGGGUUUCGGCUCGUAAAGCUCUGUUGUCGGGGACGAAUGUGCAGUAUUUGAAUAAAGUACUGCAAUGACGGUACCUGACGAGGAAGCCACGGCUAACUACGUGCCAGCCGCCGCAGUAA
rnacentral:rRNA from 1 species